ncrna:unclassified sequences RAGATH-18 RNA
ACUGUGGAGUGUACAAGAACCUGCAAGUAGAUAUGAUUUGUGUCAUUCAAAAGCAUACACGAUGAAGCAGUAA